GAAUGCUGACAUAAGUAACGAUAAAGCGGGUGAAAAGCCCGCUCGCCGGAAGACCAAGGGUUCCUGUCCAACGUUAAUCGGGGCAGGGUGAGUCGACCCCUAAGGCGAGGCCGAAAGGCGUAGUCGAUGGGAAACGGGUUAAUAUUCCCGUACUUGGUGUUACUGCGAAGGGGGGACGGAGAAGGCUAUGUUGGCCGGGCGACGGUUGUCCCGGUUUAAGCGUGUAGGUGUGUGUUCCAGGUAAAUCCGGUUCACUUUAACACUGAGGCGUGAUGACGAGGCACUACGGUGCUGAAGCAACAAAUGCCCUGCUUCCAGGAAAAGCCUCUAAGCAUCAGGUAACAUCAAAUCGUACCCCAAACCGACACAGGUGGUCAGGUAGAGAAUACCAAGGCGCUUGAGAGAACUCGGGUGAAGGAACUAGGCAAAAUGGUGCCGUAACUUCGGGAGAAGGCACGCUGACACGUAGGUGAAGUGAUUUACUCAUGGAGCUGAAGUCAGUCGAAGAUACCAGCUG
rnacentral:rRNA from 1 species